GACGAACGCUGGCGGCGUGCUUAACACAUGCAAGUCGAACGGAAAGGCCCUGCUUUUGUGGGGUGCUCGAGUGGCGAACGGGUGAGUAACACGUGAGUAACCUGCCCUUGACUUUGGGAUAACUUCAGGUAACUGGGGCUAAUACCGGAUAGGCGCUCCUGCUGCAUGGUGUGGGUUGGAAAGUUUCGGCGUUUUGGGAAGCACUCGCGGCUUAUCAGUUUGUUGGUGGGGUAGUGGCUUACCAAGGCUUUGACGGGUAGCCGGCCUGAGAGGGUGACCGGCCACAUUGGGACUGAGAUACGGCCCAGACUCCUACGGGAGGCAGCAGUGGGGAAUAUUGCACAAUGGGCGGAAGCCUGAUGCAGCAACGCCGCGUGCGGGAUUACGGCCUUCGGGUUGUAAACCGCUUUCGCCUGUGACGAAGCGUGAGUGACGGUAAUGGGUAAAGAAGCACCGGCUAACUACGUG
rnacentral:rRNA from 1 species